GUGGUGUUUGGAUCGUCUCUGCCGGCUGGCUCCGUGCCAGUCCACCGAACGGCCGGCAGGCGAUCCGCUUCGGACUCUUGAGGCUGUGCCUGUUAUGUAUGGUUACCCGGAUGCCGGUUCUUGUGCCGCCUACCCCUCAUGGGGAGAGCACACGUCACUCUGUGUAAGCCUCCAUCCGGCGCCCUCCAACGGGCGCAGGAGGACAGCGUAGCACCCCCCGCGUUCCGCCGAGCCCUCGUCGGUCGCGUGGCCCGCGGGGACGUGCGAUGCUCUCGGACCCAGAGCACGCCGUGGGCGAGGACUCACGUCCCAGUCCCAACAGAAGCUCCGAAACGAUGCAUGACGUCCGCUCCCGCCCCCCGACCGCCCCGGCGGCGAGGGGGCGAGGCGCGGCGUCGCGGAGGAAUGCUACCUGGUUGAUCCUGCCAGUAGUCAUAUGCUUGUCUCAAAGAUUAAGCCA
rnacentral:misc_RNA from 1 species